rnacentral:rRNA from 1 species
UACGAAGGGGGCUAGCGUUGCUCGGAAUCACUGGGCGUAAAGCGCACGUAGGCGGCUUUUUAAGUCAGGGGUGAAAUCCUGGAGCUCAACUCCAGAACUGCCUUUGAUACUGGGAAGCUCGAGUCUGGGAGAGGUGAGCGGAACUCCGAGUGUAGAGGUGAAAUUCGUAGAUAUUCGGAAGAACACCAGUGGCGAAGGCGGCUCACUGGCCCGGUACUGACGCUGAUGCGCGAAAGCCAGGGGAGCGAACGGG